rnacentral:tRNA from 1 species
CGGGAUGUGGCUCAGUCUGGUAGAGCACAGCGUUCGGGACGCUGGUGUCGCUGGUUCGAAUCCAGUCAUCCCGACCA